CACGCCCCCACAUCAAUAUUCACAAUAAUUUAAUAUUAAUGAGAGGAGGGCGUGGUUCGGGGAAUCCUCGCUCCCUUUUUAAAGAGACAUCUGCAACUUCGUCUUAGCAAUCUCCUCUGAAUGCUCAAGGUGGGGGCUUAAAGCAACAGUAGUUCUGGAACAACGGCAUUUUGUUAAGGCCUCACCAACCACUGUCUCAUAAAUUGCUGAGGGAGCUAUUUCCAUUCUUCCAGCCUUAUGCUAAAGCCUGCACCAAACCCAGUCAGGGAAUUCGGUUUCACGGUCCCCUCAACAGAUGUCCCCUCAACGGGGGAGAUUUUCAGUUUGUUUGUUUUUUUUUUAAAUACGGAAUUUUGCUCUUUUUGCCCAUGCUGGAGUGCAAUGGCACCAUCUCGGCUCACUGCAACCUUUGCCUCCCAGGUUCAAGCAAUUCUCGUGCCUCAGCCUCCCAAGUACCUGGGAUUACAGGCACGCUCCACCACACCUGGCUAAUUUUUGUAUUUUUAGUAGAGACGGGGUUUCACAAUGUUGUUCAGGCUGGUCUUGAACUCCCGACCUCAGGUGAUCCACCUGCCUUGGCCUCCCAAAGUGAAGGGAUUACAGUUGUGAGCCACGGUGCCCAGCUGAUUUUCAGCUUUUAACUCUCAUUUUUCAUCUCAUAUGUUUCUUACUCUAGGAAGCCUUCCUUGAACCCCCAGGCUGGAGCAGUUACCACCAGUAUACACCCACAGGACAUCAUGUGCUCACCUCCACUGUUUCCAGUCUAAUGUGGUAUUGUGUUUGUUUGCUCACAUUGUGUCUGUGACCACACUGAGCUGUGAGACUACUCAGGGCAAGGACUGUCCCCAGCUCCCCUGUGUGUGAAAGGGCUGGGUGAACAGCCAUAGAUAGGCGAGGAGAAGCUCCUCGAUUGUCAAGUCCCACCCACCUCAAUGGUUCUGAAGAGCAGGAAGUUGGAGAACAGUGGUUCUGGAAUCUGAAUGAGCCAAGGUGCUGGCUGGCUGCACACUUUGCAGUCACCAGACACUCCCAGGGCCCCUGGAUCCUUCACCUAAGUGGCUUGCUCCUGCCUACAAACUUAAUCUCUUGAAAGGGCUGAUAACAGUUGCCAAGCACCUGAACAAAUGGAGCAGGUUCAGCAAGGCCUCCCUCAGACGGCUGGGCACACUGUUUCCUGCCCAGAAGUCAUUAAUAGGAUUAAGUGUGUCCUCCCUGUCCAGGGCAUUUAAUUAGCUCAGGAACCAAAAGGCCUUUAAGAAGUAGAGAUGUCAUUGCAGCUAAGCCAUGGAUGUCACCAAAAUUACUCUCAGCACCAGGUGGGAGAAGGGUUCAUACCGAGGCUGAAACAGCAGUUGUUUGCUCACCUGGCAGGCGGGCAGGCACGUGGCUUUUCUCCACCUUAUGAUCUGGUGGACAUAGUUCUGGAGAGUGAAGUUCUGACCUUCCAGGCUGUCAUAUGACUGUUAGCUGCCAGGCCUCCUGGAGAAUUUGCUCCUGAGAAGGUGCUCUGAGGAACAUUUUGGGAGCCUCCAGAACUGAAGGGUGAACCAACUUUCUGGAGAAAAAUGAAUGGAUGCAGGCCCAGAGGAGCCACAUUUUUUCCUCGUCUCUAUGGCAAGCAAGCACCAAGUAUCCGCAGAUCAAAAGACAAGGUAUUUCUCUGUCGUCCAGGCUGGAGUGCAGGACGCGAUUACAGCUUACGGCAGCCUCAGGGACUCAAGCAAUCCUUCUGCUUCAGCCUCUUGAGCACUACAGGGUUUUGCCAUGUUGGCCAGGCUAGCCUCGAACUCCUGAUCUCAAGUGAUUCACCUGCCUCGGCCUCCCAAAGUGGUGUGAUUUCAGGGAUGAGCCACUGCUCCGAGCCAACAUCAUUUAAUUCUACGUAGCUGUAUGUAUCAUUUCAAAGGGGAGGAAAGUGAGGGUCAUUGACUUAUUUGUAUAACAAAUAUUUAUUGAGCUCCUCCUAUGUGCCAGGCACUGUUCUAGGCACAGAGGAGUAAACAAAAUGGUGUAUCUGUACCCUUAGGUACUAGUGGGAGAGUCAUUAACAAAUGUCAAAUACAGGUAGUAUCGGGUUGUAUAAUAUAGAGACAGUGCUUUGAAGAAAAGUACAGUUGAUAGUGACAGGGCCACUGUUUUGGAUGCCAUGGUUAGGGAUGGGCUUUUUUUUUUUCCUUCCUUGAGUCAGGGUCUCACUCUGUUGCCCAGGCUGGAGUGUAGUAACACGAUCACAGCUCACUGCAGCCUCAACCUCCUGGGCUCAAGCAAUUCUCACACCUCAGCCUCCUGAAUAGCAGACUAUAGGCAUGUGCUACUGUGCCUGGGUUUUUGUUUUUUUUGAGAGGGAGUUUCUCGCUCUGUUGCCCAGGCUGC